rnacentral:tRNA from 1 species
UAAGAACUUAAUUAAAUAUUAAUAAUUUAAGCUUGUCAUGCUUAAGUCAUCUAUCAUGGGAUACUUCUUA